UACGUAGGGUGCGAGCGUUGUCCGGAAUCAUUGGGCGUAAAGAGCUCGUAGGCGGUUUGUCACGUCUGCUGUGAAAUCCCGAGGCUCAACCUCGGGCCUGCAGUGGGUACGGGCAGACUGGAGUGCGGUAGGGGAGAUUGGAAUUCCUGGUGUAGCGGUGGAAUGCGCAGAUAUCAGGAGGAACACCGAUGGCGAAGGCAGAUCUCUGGGCCGUAACUGACGCUGAGGAGCGAAAGCGUGGGGAGCGAACAGG
rnacentral:rRNA from 1 species